AUCCUCCUCUGAUGUCACGCACAAACCUUCAAAAUCGAAGAUCAAACAUAUCAAUUGCGAAGUCGUUAAACCCUAUUGUGUUAUAAGCGUGAACGGUCCAAAAGCUUCAAGCGUAUAGUGUCUUAUGGAUUCAAGAAAGGCAUCGAUGAAAAAACGGAAGCAACGUGUUGCGUCAGUUAGACCAGACGGUAACAGGACUGAGAAUCGGAUGGCUGUGCCGAAUCAGACCGAAGAUGCAGCCACGAUGAAGACAGUUACAAAUGUCCCAGCAGUUAAACAAACUAGAAUGUUUGCGACCAUAAUUUCAGUUUUUUUCCCAAAAUUGUUAUGUUCUAAACAAAAAUACAAUUUUAUCCAGCUGCCCCCCCCCCCCCCCCCCCCAACCCAGCAGAUAAUGAUGAUGACUUUGUCACACCGCCCGCCUUCAAAAAGGUGUAAAUCAAAGGCACGAAGGACAACACUGAGGGCUCCAAAUACGUUUGUGUCAAAGUCGUAUGAACCGUUUAGGGGUAUUAAAAUAAAACCAAAAGCGUCGCUGAAUAACCUCGUAAUCGUGGUGAAAAAUCUGAAUAACGCAUAAAAAAACGAGUUGUGGAUAUCGGUUUUAGAUCAAUUCUGAAGUUCAAUGUUCGUGGUGUGCCGACACGACUUCCCCACUGGUUGGCAAACAACUACGAUGAACAAAGGGAGGUGUUGAAUGUUGGGAGCCACCGUAUACAUAUCACAAGGGAGUUGGUCCAUACGAUAUUUGGUAUACCGUUGGGUACCGUUGAAGUUGAAGAAAAAUGCGAGCUCGUGAUAGCCACGAAGCAGUAGUAGAAUGGAGGUCGCAAUUCGCAGAUUCCGAAAGGGUCUCGCCACGUACAUUGUGAGAUGUCAUGGCACAAUAUAAAAGCAAUUUCUGGAUAUUCGAUCUUAACUGGUUGGUAAUGUUUAAUAGCGUAAUGGGAGAAACAAGUGCGAACAACACAGUUAAUCAACGUUUCCUAGUCUGUAUGGACCCAAAUGCGUGUAUAACGAGUUUCAAAUGGUGCCGGUACAUGAUUACAUGUUUGAACCGAACAACGCAAGCAUGGGCGCGUAACGAUGGACAACCUAUCAGAAGACCAAUCGUAUUGCUCGCGGCGGUGUAUGCAUACGAUACAGGACAUGUUAACACAAGCAUGUCAAAAGGUUCGUGACCUAUUGAGCAUGUGGAUACAUGUAUGUUCGAUGAUCUCCUUACAAGUUUGGAUUAUUGACUUUUCCAGCAACAUCUGGCACAUAACACCCCGAUGAUACCGAAAGAAAAUCGGGUUGUUAAUCAAGAGAAACGUAAAAAGGGAAAAAAAUACCUGAUCUAAAAAAACAAAAUGCUACAUGCACUACAACAGUUGAUGGGCUAUCGGCCGAGAAUUGUAGAAGCAUGUGAUAAGCCUCUACAUGCACACUUGAUUUGCUGCCCGUUGAAGAUCUUGAAACCACGUCGUUGCACGUUGACAUGAUACAUAACAGAUUAGCUGCUGAUGAUCAACCUGUGGUGUAAGAUGACGACGACCACCUAGCCCUUUUAAACAUUGCAAAGAUUUUUUUUCACAGAAUGAUACACAAGAUGUAGCAAUGUUUGUCGAAGCUGAUGGUGAAUUGGCAGUUCGCCAGCGGCGAACAAUAUAAAUAAAUUACUAUUAAAAUUCAAUAUUUUUGCCAAAAUUGGCAGU